rnacentral:rRNA from 1 species
CCUACGGGAGGCAGCAGUGGGGAAUAUUGCGCAAUGGGCGAAAGCCUGACGCAGCGACGCCGCGUGAGGGAUGAAGGUCUUCGGAUCGUAAACCUCUGUCAGCAGGGAAGAGCGGUCACUGUGCUAAUCAGCAGUGACUUGACGGUACCUGCAAAGGAAGCACCGGCUAACUCCGUGCCAGCAGCCGCGGUAAUACGGAGGGUGCGAGCGUUAAUCGGAAUUACUGGGCGUAAAGCGCUCGUAGGCGGUAUGUCAAGUCAAGGGUGAAAUCCCCGCGCUCAACGUGGGAACUGCCUUUGAAACUGGUAAACUGGAGUGUGUGAGAGGAUAGUGGAAUUCCAGGUGUAGGAGUGAAAUCCGUAGAUAUCUGGAGGAACAUCAGUGGCGAAGGCGAUUAUCUGGCACAUAACUGACGCUGAGGAGCGAAAGCGUGAGUAGCAAACAGGAUUAGAUACCCCUGUAGUC